GACACAUUUGAGGCUGUUCAGUGUAGAAUGUGCAGGUUUGCUUUUGGGUGAAGGAGAAAAGUGUGAGUGGAAGCUGCUGACUGGGUCAACAGAGGCUGAAGACUGAGGAGACAUGCAAGCUGUGAUUGGACUGUUUCUGAUGCUACUUGGAGUCUCUCAUGGUGUGGAAACAUGUGAUGGCAGACAGGAUGGAGCUCAGUGUUAUGGAGCUUUGGGAGGAACUGUGGUCCUCCAGCUGAUGGACAGCGCCUCAGAAAUAUUUAAAUACCAAUGAAAAACAAACA